rnacentral:sRNA from 1 species
AUUAGGUGUGGUGGCGCAUGCCUGUAAUCCAGCAAUUUGGGAGGCUGAGACAGGAGGAUGGCAAGUUGAGACCAGCCUCAACAACUCUGUGAGACCCUGUCUCAA